rnacentral:rRNA from 2 species
UGAUACGUAGCCGAACUGAGAGGUUGAUCGGCCACAUUGGGACUGAGACACGGCCCAAACUCCUACGGGAGGCAGCAGUAGGGAAUCUUCCACAAUGGACGCAAGUCUGAUGGAGCAACGCCGCGUGAGUGAAGAAGGCUUUCGGGUCGUAAAACUCUGUUGUUGGAGAAGAAUGGUCGGCAGAGUAACUGUUGUCGGCGUGACGGUAUCCAACCAGAAAGCCACGGCUAACUACGUGCCAGCAGCCGCGGUAAUACGUAGGUGGCAAGCGUUAUCCGGAUUUAUUGGGCGUAAAGCGAGCGCAGGCGGUUUUUUAAGUCUGAUGUGAAAGCCCUCGGCUUAACCGAGGAAGCGCAUCGGAAACUGGGAAACUUGAGUGCAGAAGAGGACAGUGGAACUCCAUGUGUAGCGGUGAAAUGCGUAGAUAUAUGGAAGAACACCAGUGGCGAAGGCGGCUGUCUGGUCUGUAACUGACGCUGAGGCUCGAAAGCAUGGGUAGCGAACAGGAUUAGAUACCCUGGUAGUCCAUGCCGUAAACGAUGAAUGCUAGGUGUUGGAGGGUUUCCGCCCUUCAGUGCCGCAGCUAACGCAUUAAGCAUUCCGCCUGGGGAGUACGACCGCAAGGUUGAAACUCAAAGGAAUUGACGGGGGCCCGCACAAGCGGUGGAGCAUGUGGUUUAAUUCGAAGCAACGCGAAGAACCUUACCAGGUCUUGACAUCUUUUGAUCACCUGAGAGAUCAGGUUUCCCCUUCGGGGGCAAAAUGACAGGUGGUGCAUGGUUGUCGUCAGCUCGUGUCGUGAGAUGUUGGGUUAAGUCCCGCAACGAGCGCAACCCUUAUGACUAGUUGCCAGCAUUUAGUUGGGCACUCUAGUAAGACUGCCGGUGACAAACCGGAGGAAGGUGGGGAUGACGUCAAAUCAUCAUGCCCCUUAUGACCUGGGCUACACACGUGCUACAAUGGAUGGUACAACGAGUUGCGAGACCGCGAGGUCAAGCUAAUCUCUUAAAGCCAUUCUCAGUUCGGACUGUAGGCUGCAACUCGCCUACACGAAGUCGGAAUCGCUAGUAAUCGCGGAUCA